CCGAUCGAAAUCAUUAUUUCCUAUCGGCUUGAACGCUAAACCAUGAUGCACAAAUCAGCUGUCUUCGCAGUUCUGGCUUUCAUGUGCAUCGCACUGCUAAUCAUGGCUGAAGCUGCGCAUAAAGAUGAUGAAUGUGAUAGCCGAAACCACACUUGCAGAUACCCUGAGAUGUGCAGCGAAUGUCCAAAGGACAUUGAAAGACCGUACGGUUAUAUAAGGAACCAAAUAUUUUACUUCGACAUUGAGACAAAUGACUGUGAGGAGACUGAGGGUACCAGCUACAGCUGCAACAGUUUCAGCAAAUAUAAGGACUGCGCACACCUCUGCGGGAUAGAUUCAGAUGAAGAAUAAAGAACAAACCGCACAGGUUUCUGUGUGAAAAUAUUCUGGAUAUCACACCGGAGGUAGCACGUGGAACGUAUUCAAAGUGGCUUUGGGGAUCCUGUCGAAAAUUUUGCUGAAUAAAAGAUUUUGCAUUUA